rnacentral:rRNA from 1 species
GGAAUAUUGCACAAUGGGCGCAAGCCUGAUGCAGCGACGCCGCGUGAGCGAUGAAGUAUUUCGGUAUGUAAAGCUCUAUCAGCAGGGACGAUGAUGACGGUACCUGACUAAGAAGCCCCGGCUAACUACGUGCCAGCAGCCGCGGUAAUACGUAGGGGGCAAGCGUUAUCCGGAUUUACUGGGUGUAAAGGGAGUGUAGGUGGUCAUGCAAGUCCGAAGUGAAAGCCCGGGGCUCAACCCCGUGACUGCUUUGGAAACUGUGUGACUGGAGUGCAGGAGAGGUAAGUGGAAUUCCUAGUGUAGCGGUGAAAUGCGUAGAUAUUAGGAAGAACACCGGUGGCGAAGGCGGCUUACUGGACUGUAACUGACACUGAGGCUCGAAAGCGUGGGGAGCAAACA